AAUGAAUUUCUCCAGGAGCUCAGCCUGAGAAGCCCACACCUUGAGCUCUCCCACACCGCGGGGGCGAAGCGGUGGGCCAGGCUCCAGACUGGGCAGGAAAUGCAGCUCAGGGUCCCACGGGGUCCCCUGGCCCUGGGGUCCAGGGAAGCCGAAGCUUCCAGCUGGAAAACAGAAGGGGCUUGUCAUGCAAACAGGAUGACACAGGGAAGGAAGCAGAGGGCGCUGGAGACCCCAUCGCCCCCACACCGCAAGUGCUCUUGGGCCCAACAGCGUCACAGAGGCAUUGGCCGGCCCCGGCUGCACACACAGACACCCCGCGCCCUGAGCCGCUGUGGGAGACUCCCGCGGGGACCCAGGUGGCCUCUCCCUCCUACAACCCCCGUCUGCAGCGCCGGGUCCCGCCAGGGGCUCCCAUUCCCACCCCCCGCUUCCUGCAGGCCAGUCCCCCCUGCCUGGGCCCUGUGCGGCGGGCUCCACGGUCCUUGCUCUGAACGGCUCGGUCUCUUCCCCACCGUCCUGGCCUAGAGGCGUGGACGCAGCCGAAGGUGCCGCAGGCCUUGCCAGGUGGGCUGCGGGGCCGGGUGGCGGGGAGAGGGCUGAUGGCCCCUGGGACCUCCCCCCACCCCCAGCCGGCUCGCAUCGUCACCUCCACCUCCAAGGAGUCUGCAGCUGGCAGCGUGCCUGGCCAGCAGGGGCCUGGGGCAGACCUGGCUACCAGCUCCCUGGCCCCUCCCGCCCACCAGUAGCCAGCCCCAGACAGAGCGUGAGCAGAGGCGGCCUGGGCCAGGGCCAGGGCCGGAGCCUCGAGGCCAAGUCUGGCCGGGAACUGGGCUGCAGGCUUCUUUCCUCUUGGCAAGGUCCUUGCCCACGGAGCGCUGCGGUCACCAGCCUGGGAAGGGACGGUGGGAGCCUGAGCAGUAGGGAAGGCCAGAGGGGUUCCUGGUUUGGACGCCCCCGCCCCGGCUGGGAGCUCCAGUCCUCCGGUCCUGGAGCCACUGACACUACCCCUCUCAGACCAGGGGCUCUACAAACCUCACACUAAUUGCUUUCAUGCCGUCCCAGACAACGGGCCACCACGGGGCUGACCAAGGAACGGGGCAUCGUCAGUCUGGACCCCGGGGUCCCCAGUGCCUCAGCUGAGGUCUGAAUGAGGCCUCUCCAUCCUGAGGCUGCUCCGUCCAGUAGGAGCGGUCAUGGUGGCCACUGCCCUGAGAUUCUGUCAGCUCCCGUCACAGAUACGUCCCACGUUCACGACAGCCUCGGGGAAGGGGCCCGAAGCUGUGUGACGUUUCAGCAGGGCCAGAGGCGAGCCGCCGUGUACUGAGCGUCACGCAUGGCCCGCCGUGCCGCCAGCCCAGGCCAGACACGGGGCUCUAGUCCCGGCUGUAGCACCGCCUUCGCUCUGCCUAGUGCCCCACGGAGGCCUGGCCUGGGCGCCUGGCUGGCUGAGAAAACCGCUCCGGAAGCCAGCAUGCCCGGGAGGCCUGGUUGACACCCUCUGGCGGCCUAGGUCCUCGGGCACGGCCCCGACCCCGGAGCCCCAUCUGACCGUACACCCCGAGGCCCAGACGACCCGGCCCCUCGCCGCUGUCCCAGCUGGAAUGCCCCGGACACCCCAGGAACCUCCAGCGACCACUGAGUCCGGCCUUGGCCCGCUGGAGAGGGGGCACCACGUGGCCGGGCGACACUGGAGAACGGGGUCUUCCUCCAUCAAUCUGUUUGCCAGGCCCCCCUGCCGCGGCCAAGGUGCUGAGGACGCCCCUGCCCCAGAGCACAGGUGUUGCCCGGGGGAGAGCCUACGGUCUAGGGGCCACCGAGACCCCCGCGGGCCUGACUGGCGGCAACAGGGGUGGCCCUGUGCCGCGCACCCCAAGUCUGAGGUGCCAGGUGCCCACCGUGCCCUCCCCUCCGCCCGCAUCUCCCCACCAGGCUGUCCUGUGGUGGGGGUGCUGAGAAGCCUGUCUCCUCACCGUGAUCCCAGGCUGAGGGCAGAGGGCAGAGGGAGUGGGAGUCGGGGAAAGACAGGCGGACAGAAGGGCCUCCGAGAGCUGGGCAGAACGGGCACUUAUUGUCUGACGUGAGCCACGGGGACGGCAUCCUCCCUCUCUGGAAACCGUGACACGGGCUGUGAAGGAAAGGCCUCACCGAGAUGGCUGCCGGCCGCCUCCGAGAAGCAAGCCCUUCCCGGGCUCUCAGGGCUCCUGAGGUUCCUGGAGCCCAGCUGACUGGCUACUGGCGGGGCUUCCCCAGCUCCCACCCUCCCGCUCAUACCUGCUCAGGCUCCCCACUUCCCUCAGGCCUUGCAGGGCCCACCUGGGCGCGCGGGGGGGGGGGGCACCCGGGGUCUCCCCCAGGACACCAGAGGCUGCUGAGACACUGGAGGGACAGGCAGUCUGCCUGGGGGCCCAGAGUGCCCCUCCUGUGCUGAGCCAGGCCUAGAGGGAGCUGUCAGAGAAGAGGAGGCAGGAGGUCUGCCCCAGGGACCUGGACACACCCCUCCUGUUCCAGGACAGGGGACAAGGAAGGAGAGUGUCCAUCGGCGUUCAGCCCUGGUCCUGCAUGGACUAAGAUGGAAAGGCUGGGAAGCAAGCGGGGGGGGGGUGGGGUGGAGAGCCACCCAAGAACGGUCCCGGCCGGCUGGAACCCACCGCUGGCCCGGGCACACGCGUGCGCGUGCACAGAGGCAGCACAGUGACCGUGUGUGGGGGCUCACGGGGCGUGUCCGGGCACACACUCGUGGCCACGGCUGUACACGCUGGCCACAGGCGUGCACACAGGACACAGAUGUGCACGCGUGUCUGAGGCACGGCCCCGAACACGCACGAGGUGGCUGACCCGACUCUUGCGAGAGGGGGGCCUCAAAGACCCGCUUCCCAGGGUCAGACCCCCACCAGACUGGUCCCCUUACUGGCCCCGGAAAAAGCCCCCGACCUUUGAUUCCGUGUGCCCCCGGGGUGACGUGGGAGGGGCCGCCGGACCCUGCCCACCUCCUCCCCCGCCCUGGGCAGUGGGAGCACAUUCCGGCUCACCUGUGCUGGAAGGGGACCCUCGCCUGUCGUCUGCACCAAACUAGAGACCCCCGAGCCCGAGCCCCUGCUGCACGGGACCAGGCCCCUCCCCAGGCCGGCUGCUCAGCCCCCAGCCACCCGGAGCUGACAGUGGCUCCAGGAGUCGUGUGGAUUCUGGGGGACAGCUGGCAGGCCACGUGGCCAAGUUCGCCUCCCCACAGGCAGCCCACCCCCCUCUGCGGUGGAGAAGCAGCUUAGACUGGCACGAAGUCCCCUCUGAUCUGUGACACCCCCCACCCACCCCCGCAGGGCAGGCUGUCCAGGACCCACGCAUCGUCCAGAUCUGGGGCGGUCCCCUCCGGCCACAAGCUGGCCGCCCCCAGAUGUUGGCCUGUCUGGCCCAUUCCCUCACUCCGUCCCACCAGACACCGGGUCUGCCCUGCUGCUACCACGGCCCCUAGGAGUCCCUGAGGGCUCCUCCCAAGGAUCCCGGCUGCCGUCCACGACUCCGAGACGCUGGCCGGACGAGAGGAACCUGAGACGGGCACAGGGAGGGAGGAGGGACGGGCGGAGGAGGCAGGACUGUGAAGCCGUGGGUGAACCUCCUGGCCGGCCCAGCCCUAGGAUGUGGAGGCAGCCCAGAAACAUGCGUGUGUCACAUGGGAAGCCCCUCUCCGCUGGCCCAGGAGAACCUUCCAGAAGCCCCGGUUGGCCCAAAAGCAGCAGUUCUCAGGCCAUAAUAGGAAAAUUCUGUGGUUGCUGAGCCACCCAGCCGACAAACGUGGAAGCAAGAUGACAGGGGAGGCCCAACCACCAACAGCCCAGAACUAAUAAAAGAAAAGGAAAAUCGGA